CUGGGAUCCUAAUUUAGACUAUUGUUUG
rnacentral:tRNA from 1 species